AAAGGGAAACAGCCCAGACCACCAGCUAAGGUCCCAAAAUAUAUGUUAAGUGGAAAAGGAUGUGGCGUUGCCCAGACAACUAGGAUGUUGGCUUAGAAGCAGCCAUCAUUUAAAGAGUGCGUAAUAGCUCACUAGUCGAGUGACACUGCGCCGAAAAUGUACCGGGGCUAAACAUAUUACCGAAGCUGUGGAUUGUCCUUUGGACAAUGGUAGGAGAGCGUUCUAAGGGCGUUGAAGCAUGAUCGUAAGGACAUGUGGAGCGCUUAGAAGUGAGAAUGCCGGUGUGAGUAGCGAAAGACGGGUGAGAAUCCCGUCCACCGAUUGACUAAGGUUUCCAGAGGAAGGCUCGUCCGCUCUGGGUUAGUCGGGUCCUAAGCUGAGGCCGACAGGCGUAGGCGAUGGAUAACAGGUUGAUAUUCCUGUACCACCUAUAAUCGUUUUAAUCGAUGGGGGGACGCAGUAGGAUAGGCGAAGCGUGCGAUUGGAUUGCACGUCUAAGCAGUAAGGCUGAGUAUUAGGCAAAUCCGGUACUCAUUAAGGCUGAGCUGUGAUGGGGAGAAGACAUUGUGUCUUCGAGUCGUUGAUUUCACACUGCCGAGAAAAGCCUCUAGAUAGAAAAUAGGUGCCCGUACCGCAAACCGACACAGGUAGUCAAGAUGAGAAUUCUAAGGUGAGCGAGCGAACUCUCGUUAAGGAACUCGGCAAAAUGACCCCGUAACUUCGGGAGAAGGGGUGCUCUUUAGGGUUAACGCCCAGAAGAGCCGCAGUGAAUAGGCCCAAGCGACUGUUUAUCAAAAACACAGGUCUCUGCUAAACCGUAAGGUGAUGUAUAGGGGCUGACGCCUGCCCGGUGCUGGAAGGUUAAGAGGAGUGGUUAGCUUCUGCGAAGCUACGAAUCGAAGCCCCAGUAAACGGCGGCCGUAACUAUAACGGUCCUAAGGUAGCGAAAUUCCUUGUCGGGUAAGUUCCGACCCGCACGAAAGGCGUAACGAUUUGGGCACUGUCUCAACGAGAGACUCGGUGAAAUCAUAGUACCUGUGAAGAUGCAGGUUACCCGCGACAGGACGGAAAGACCCCGUGGAGCUUUACUGUAGCCUGAUAUUGAAAUUCGGCACAGCUUGUACAGGAUAGGUAGGAGCCUUUGAAACGUGAGCGCUAGCUUACGUGGAGGCGCUGGUGGGAUACUACCCUAGCUGUGUUGGCUUUCUAACCCGCACCACUUAUCGUGGUGGGAGACAGUGUCAGGCGGGCAGUUUGACUGGGGCGGUCGCCUCCUAAAAGGUAACGGAGGCGCUCAAAGGUUCCCUCAGAAUGGUUGGAAAUCAUUCAUAGAGUGUAAAGGCAUAAGGGAGCUUGACUGCGAGACCUACAAGUCGAGCAGGGUCGAAAGACGGACUUAGUGAUCCGGUGGUUCCGCAUGGAAGGGCCAUCGCUCAACGGAUAAAAGCUACCCCGGGGAUAACAGGCUUAUCUCCCCCAAGAGUUCACAUCGACGGGGAGGUUUGGCACCUCGAUGUCGGCUCAUCGCAUCCUGGGGCUGUAGUCGGUCCCAAGGGUUGGGCUGUUCGCCCAUUAAAGCGGUACGCGAGCUGGGUUCAGAACGUCGUGAGACAGUUCGGUCCCUAUCCGUCGUGGGCGUAGGAAAUUUGAGAGGAGCUGUCCUUAGUACGAGAGGACCGGGAUGGACAUACCUCUGGUGUACCAGUUGUCGUGCCAACGGCAUAGCUGGGUAGCUAUGUGUGGACGGGAUAAGUGCUGAAAGCAUCUAAGCAUGAAGCCCCCCUCAAGAUGAGAUUUCCCAACUUCGGUUAUAAGAUCCCUCAAAGAUGAUGAGGUUAAUAGGUUCGAGGUGGAAGCAUGGUGACAUGUGGAGCUGACGAAUACUAA
rnacentral:rRNA from 1 species